UACGAAGGGGGCUAGCGUUGUUCGGAAUUACUGGGCGUAAAGCGCGCGCAGGCGGUUCUCCAAGUCAGUGGUGAAAGCCCGGAGCUCAACUCCGGAAAUGCCAUUGAAACUGUUGAACUUGAGGACGAGAGAGGUGAGUGGAAUUCCCAGUGUAGAGGUGAAAUUCGUAGAUAUUGGGAAGAACACCGGUGGCGAAGGCGGCUCACUGGCUCGUAUCUGACGCUCAGGCGCGAUAGCGUGGGGAUCAAACAGG
rnacentral:rRNA from 1 species